ACCGCGAGGUCAAGCUAAUCUCUUAAAGCCAUUCUCAGUUCGGACUGUAGGCUGCAACUCGCCUACACGAAGUCGGAAUCGCUAGUAAUCGCGGAUCAGCACGCCGCGGUGAAUACGUUCCCGGGCCUUGUACACACCGCCCGUCACACCAUGAGAGUUUGUAACACCCGAAGCCGGUGGCGUAACCCUUUUAGGGAGCGAGCCGUCUAAGGUGGGACAAAUGAUUAGGGUGAAGUCGUAACAAGGUAGCCGUAGGAGAACCUGCGGCUGGAUCACCUCCUUUCUAAGGAA
rnacentral:rRNA from 1 species